CCGAGUGGACCCUAGCUUGGCCCAUAGUAUUGGAGAACACAGCUCUCACGGUCCUGGACAUACCACCCUGCAUACAUUCUAAGAACUUCAGAUUCGCAGAGUAAACCCAUAAAGAUACCACUGGGAUUCCCUCUCUGCCUUUCUCAGAAGUCAUUCUAUCCUUAUCAGGACUAGAUUAUCACCUGUCAUCUCUCCUCCACAGAUGAUCUGUUCUUUCAGGACAAAGACCCUGGAUAAUGGCAUCCGAUGACAACCAAGGGCGUUGUGGACCUUCGAUAACUGACUCACCAGUGGUUCCCUCUGGCUUUUCUAAUCAAGUCGUCAUCAGUGUUUACCAAAUAGUCCACACCUUGCUCCACUUUCCUGAGUAUCACUCCAACCCUUCUCCCCUCACCCUCUCAGCUCUUACUUUGGUCUGUUGAUUCUGUACAAAACAUAUAGUCGUUGAGUUCCUACCCUUAAAAUCACUGUGCUCAGUGCAGCAGAUGAGGAUUCGCAUUUAAAGAGUAAGAACCACAGAAGCUUACCAAUUAAUAGAGUGUUAGCAAAUGCACCAAUGACAUGAAAAAACAGGAGAGUUAGAAAUGUGAUAAGCAAAGUCCACACCAGUGGUCUUCAAACACACCUGGGAACUGAGGAAGCCUAUGAAGCCACAUUAAGCCAUGGCCCUUAUGUGCCUUACUAGCUCUCCAGGUGGUUCUGAUUCACAAGGCUUGGGAAGUGCUGGUCUAAAUAAAGGGCUAAGUGUUCCAAGUGGAGAGAGAGCACAUCAGGUUGAGCAAGGGAGUAUUAUUAAAUGAGGCCUCCUGAUGGAGAGCAUAUGCGCAUGUAUGUUGUAAAUGGGUAGAAUUUUGUUGAAAGAGAUUUGAGCAAGGCUAGGAUAGGAAACUCACAUGAGUGCCCAUGCAAGUGAGCAGGAAGAAAGCAUAGCAUACACACUGGGAAAAACAGGAGGGGCAACCUGAGAGAGAGCAAGACAGCCCAAGUGAGCCACACUCUGGAAGGCCCUGAGGAAUUUGCACCAAUUCUUGCAAUCUGUGGCAAAAUACACAUUACAUAAAAUUUAGCAAGUUCAGUGUCAUUAGGUGCAUUCACAUUAUUGAGCCACCAUCACCACCAUCCAUGCGAUGCAUUUUUAAGUCUCAGAGUGAGCACUGAGUGUAGCUUCCCAGUAGGGAACUGAUAAAGACUGUGCUCUUGGAAAAUCCAGAAGCCCUGGGUGGCAUGGACUGGGGCAAAGAGACCAGUUCAAAGGCUAUUGCUCAACAAGCACUUUUGUGAUCAGCACUUUGGUCUUCUGGGUUCAUGACCGAUAGUGGUUAUUACCCCUUGUAAAUUAAUUUAGAUGGCAUUCUGGCCAUACAGUCAGCCUCGGAGCUGGUUAUUCAGAACCUUAUCACAUCUGCAUUUUAAGUUCCUGAGCUGGUAAAUCUGAGGGCUGGACCCUGACCCACGGAGCCUCCAUGGACAUGGAGACACUCGUGUCUGUCAUCCAGCACCAUGCUAUCUAUACAGCACCCUGUCGAAUGCCACAGAACUACAGAAAUCAGCUAUUUUGUCUGAUGACUUUCCACACUGCCCAGCAGCCAAGCUUACAGAGGCCAAAGCUGUUUAAUUCUCAGAUUUUUUUAAAAACUUUUCUUAUUAAAAUUGUAGUUAAAAAGUUAUGUUUAGAGGAGGCAGGAACCAAGAUGGUACUCCAGGGAGCACAUUACUUAAAAAACAAAACCCUUUACUCUUCCUUGUAUCUGUUUUGCUACAAACUGGCCUCUCCUCUAAUAAGCUAUUUUGGACUCGGACUAAAAAAUCAGAGCACACAGAGGUGUUGGACUUUUUUGCAUAGACAAAAGCUUGGGCUGCAACAAAUGAGAUUUUGUUUGUAAACAUGAAUCUAGAGAAUGGACCGCACUCAAAAGAGGCACUUACAAAAAUGUCAAGCUGACAGAUGAAAACUUCUCUUGUGCUCUAAAAUUAAAAUCACAACUUUCCUCAGAUGUUACAAAUACUACUUGGGGCGACUGUCAUCACCUUGGCAAGCAAAGAUGCGGAUGGUUCCAGCAGGAGCUCCGAGGCGACGACAGCUCGCAGGACCACAGAGAGCUUUCCACCUAAAACCAACCAGAGGAACCAGCUGCAGAUAUCAACUUCAAUACUGGAUGCAUAGCGGACCUGGGGUUUGGAAACACUAAACAAAAACCGAAAAAAACCGGAGUUUGAGAGUUAAACUGUAAGGCUGUAUUCCUGACUUCACUUUCAUCCAGAUUCUCUCAGGAGAUCUCCUGAGACAAUGAAACCACCACUGAGAACUACAA